GCAUUCACCAUCUAACUUGUUCCUCUGAUCAAAAGAACAAGCUCGGGGGAAACUAAGCUUCUUUGUCGAUAGUAACUACACAUCAUUUACAAGUAAACGUUCUUCUAUAAACAUACGGCAGAUAGGGCACCUCUUGCACUUGUCACAACAGGUACUGCAGAGGAUGUGAUGCCUACAAGGAAGGAGGAGAAUAUUUAUAUGUUCCUCGAAGCAAAUUCUACAUAGAAUUUUUUCAUUUUGAAGUCUUUCGAACUCCUCCUGUUUUGACUGUGUGAAAUCUGAUUGCUCACAAAGUGCUGCUUGUA
rnacentral:misc_RNA from 1 species